rnacentral:lncRNA from 1 species
AAAAGCUCGAUUUUUAUAUCACCAUAGUUUGUAUGUAAAGUUAAAGACAUUUUAAAAAACAAAAGCAAAUAAAUAGUAAUAAUAAUAAAAAAAAAUAAUAAUAGUUAAAUAAUUGAAUAAAUAAGGUUUGAGUUUGAGCUGUUGAGGUAUUUGUACUUUUUCAUGAGAAAUUAGAACAAUAUUAUUGUAUUGCUAUUCUUUAGAAUUUUUGUUUUGUGUUUUAUUAUAAUUAAAAUAUUCCCACGUUCUUUUAUUUUCUGAAGUGUUGACUUAUCUCAAGCAAAUAAUAAACAAAAAAGUACCGUUCUUUUUUUAAAUGAAUACAUACAUACAUACAUACAUACAUACAUACAUAUAUUAAUAAUCAUUUAUUUUAAUUUGUUUUAAAAUUUUAAUCGUACGGAAACAGAACAAACACAACUGUUUUGUGUUUAUUGUAUAUUAAUUUUUUUCAAAAAGUUUUUAUAUAGUGCUUAAAACUAUAUACAUAUAAAUUACAUAAGGCGUGUGUCGAUUCGCUUUUAACUGUACUGUUUGUCUAUGUUAUACUCAUCACUUUUGCACGUGAGGAGUUAAAAUUAUUUAAAAUAAUUAUGUUUGUUUAUGUAUAUAUAUAUAUAUAUGUAUUAACUUAUCAAUUUGUUAAUUUAUUUAUUAAUUUAUUUAUUAGUUUAUUUAUUAAUUUAUUUAUUAGUAUAUUUAUUAAUUUAUUCUUUAAUUUAUUUAUUAGUUUAUUUAUUUGUUUAUUUACCAGUUAAUUAAUUAAUUAAUUUAUUUACCCUUUAACAUAAAUAUGUAAAGUACAUAGGAAAAUAAAUACAUUUUAUUUAUUUUUUUUUUUUCUUUUUUUAAUGACAUUAUAUUAAUCAUUAUUGUAUAAGCCAUUUGCUACUACAUUGAAGAAUUAUAAAAGUAUUUUUUUUUUAUACCUAAAAAUAGGCCAAUAGCUUAAAUUUAAAAAAAAAAAAAUAAUAAAAAAAAAAAAAACUACAAAUGGCAGAAAUUACUAUUGGCGUUUUAGCCCUACAAGGGAAUUUCGAAAAACACAUUUCUCAUUUUCAUAAAUUGCAGCAACCAUUAUUAAAAGUGAAAGAAGUUAGAAACAAAAUCGAUUUGAUGACAUGCGAUGGUUUAGUAAUACCUGGUGGAGAGUCAACGACAUUAAGGAAAUGUCUUGCUUAUGAUAAUGACACUUUAUAUAAAGUAAAAAUAAAAAUAAUAAAAUACAAAAAUUAAUACAUAGUUUAAUAUAAAAAGGAAUGCAUAUAUUUUUUUUAUUA